UGAUGGUUGUAUCAUAAAGCGAGUGAGAAAGCUCAAAGUGUUACUUUCAUGAAGCAGCUCAUUUCCUUUGGUGGAGUUGUCUUCACUGUGCUGUAUGAUUGUCAUUGUUCUACCUUCCUCUUGCCUGGAACAAAUUUAGGCACCCCUUGGCCAGGCCUUCUGUACCUGAUCUAAUUUAAUCUGCAGGCAAUCUUGUGGGAAGGGGGAAACACUGGUUAUUUUUUAUUAGUAUUCCCAUUGUGGACUUAGGCAGCUAGGGCUGUGUGUUUGCAAGGUGUCCCAGUGACAUGGCUGAAUAAGGCAGAAUCAGGACCCACACCAUUUUUGUGACUUCUCUGCAUGGCAUCACUAAGUAUGCAGUUUUAUUAUGAAUUUGGGGAGGGGAGGGGUGGAUUGGAGAGGCAAGAGGAAGGCAAAAGUUGGCCUCAAGGAGAAAAAGAAAGGUAAAGGUUGAGGAGAUGGAAUGGAUUUGUGAUUAAGAAUGUGGACUCUGGAGCCAGACUGUCUUGGUUUAAAUUCUUGCCCUACUGCUUGCUAGAUGUGUGACUUUGGGUAAGUUAUUAACUGAUUUGUUCUUCAGAUUUUGAAAAUUAAGUGGGAAUACUUUUAGAAAAGGUACAUUCAAGGCAAGAAGGUUAAAAUUGUCAGUAGAGGGUAAUCUGCAUGCAAAUCUUUGACCUGCUAAAUAUCCCUUCCGUAUCAUUCUCAGUAUGGCCAUGAGACAUCCAAAGUUAGGACUCUGCAUUUUCAAAAGGCAUGUUUUCAUCACAUCUUUGUCUUUUCUAGAAUGUGCUGCUGCUGCUUUUUACAAAGUGAACAUGUUUCCAUAAAGAAGUGGAUUUUUUUUUUUUUAGGGGCAAGGUGGGAGAAGGCUGGGUAUAUGGGAAACAUUCUUAUGCUGGAAAUAAUGAAGAUCGAAAGGUGUGUUGUCAGUUCAUUCAUACCAGGCUCAAAUUCAUGAAAAAAAAAAUGCAGCUGAUAAGACAAUUGAGAUCAUGUAUGAAGAAUGAAAGAAAAAGUGUCCUGCAGCAUGCUUGUUAAAUAACACUCUGAAAAAGCACAUGGGAGGACUUAUUUGAUAAGAGUAAAUCUCUGGGUCUUUGUAAAACUGGGUUUAAGUUUCUUACUCAAUACCCCUAACUAUGCUAUGGGUCUGAAAACUGGGCAUUGUUUCCUAAGAUGCGGUUUCAGGGCAGCUUCCAACUUCAGCUUUUGCCUCUGUUCCAGACGUUUGUAAAUGUUCAGUUUGGUAGGGAGGAAAAAAAACCUCACUAAUAUGGGAACCACAUUCACUUUGUAAUUUUAUAUUUAUUAACAAAAUCUUUUGCACCAGGAUAUGUUAGUCAAGCCAAAGGAUGAAUCACAUUGAUUACCGCUUUUGGGCUAUUAGCUUUGGACAGUUUCUUGUACUUCCAUCUGUGGCAGCUUGAAGUAGUUGUAUGUGUAAGGUUCCCCCUCUAGUGGCCAGAUUGGUUUGGGUUUUUGCUGUUUUUGUGCAAAUGAUCUUGAGUUGGAGAACCUUUCAGUAGGGGUACUGUGGAUUUGGGAAGGCUAGAGAGAGGGAACUAAAAAGAGGAUGCAAACCUUUAUUCCCUAGGAGAAAAUUGUUCUGAAGUAUUUGUCCAGACCAAUCUCUAGCUUUUAAAAGAACUGCUGGAGAUGGAGACUGUGACCCACGGAAGGGAGAAGGGUUCUGGAAUGAUCUCUCAUCUUUUUACUCUGAUUAUUUUCUGAAUUUCUGCUGCCUUUAUUUAUUAUUAUCUUUUUAAUAACAUUAGAAAAAUAUUUUUUUAAUUAUAAGAGCAAUAAAAUGCAUAGGGUAAAACUAGAAACUAAAAAAUAUGGAAAAUGUUUAGAAGCCUUUUAUUCUGUGAGUUCUUGUCCUUUCCCAAAUCUGUGCCAGCAGGUAACUACUAUCAACAAUAAGUGUAUCUUUCCAGUCUUUUUUCUAUGCAUUUACAAACAUACACAUGUGUCUAUUGGUUUAUAUUGAAUAAAAAUGAUUUAUCAACAUAUAUGUACAGUAUACAUACACAGUAUAUUCAUAUAUACACAUAUGUACAGUAUACAUAUACAGUAUAUUCGACAUAUUUGGUUUUUAUGAAGCAAAAUGGAAGCAUACUACAAAUACUAUCCAUUUAAUAUAUUUUGUACAGCCCAUAAAAGUAUUGUAUAGGUCUAGCUCUUUUUAAAAUAGCUGAAUUAGGAGUUCUUCUGUGGUGCAGCAUGUUGGUGAUCCAGCAUUGACACUGCAGUGGCUCAGUUCUGUGCUGUUGUGCUAGUUUGAUCCCUGGCCCAGGUAUCUCCACAUGCCAUGGGUGUGGCCAAAACAAACAAACAAAACCAAAUAAAAAUUAAUAGACUAUGCACUCAAAAAUAAAUGUUAAAAAUAGCUGAAUUAAAUUCACUUAUUUAAGCAUUCCCUUAUUGAUGAAUAUUUGAGUUAUUUUUAGUUUUUAUUGUUAAAAAUGUUCCAAUAAAAUUAUUUAUAUCUACUUAUAUCUCUGCCAGUUUGUGCAUAUAUUUUCUGUAGCAUAAAUUCCUGGGAAUCUAACUUCUGUAUUAGAGCUUAGGGUUAUUUUAAAUUGUGAUGGAUAUUGACAGCCCUCCAAAAAGGCUGUGCCAACCUACAUUCCCACACACAGUGAAUCUGCAGCUUUUCAGUGUUUUUUUUAUAAACCUAAAAUGAAUCUGAGAACAACCAAGGUAGCUCAGGGUAGGAAAAUUCUUCUGUAGGAUUCAGUGAGAGUUGUCAGGGUAGAUGAGUGAAAUCAUACUGAGCUCUUCAUCUGGCUUUGGCACCACAGCAUUCCCCUCUCUCUGUGGCUGAAAUACAUCCCUGGGGUAUGCCAAGCGGUCUAAUUUUGAUUGCAAAUGACUUCAGUCUGCAAAAGUGAUUCACUGCUAAUGAAAUCAGCCUUGAGGAGUACAUUUCCACUCCCUACUCCUGCCCACAACCCACAGUGACCUCUUCAUUGCCUGUAAUUGCCGUGUUUUUUCUCUCCUUGUGGUUUGGUGAUCUGGAGCCCAUCUCUGAGUUUAUGAUUCUGACCUUUCCUAUGUAUGGCUUGGCUGGGGAUGCUUCAGACCUCAUGGGCCCCUGAAAGUUAAAAAACUGUAGUCUGAGGGUCAGAAACCCUGCAUGCUAUCUAUCCUCAUCAGUUUCCUCUUCCCCAUCUCUCUACUCCAUCUGAUGUCCUCAGAACUAUCCCUGGGCCACUCCUGGCUUGUUGUGUUAGGAGUCACAAGUACACUUUCCUGAGCCUCCCCCCAGAGGACUGGAUGUAUAGGGCUGAAAGGAGGCCAGAAUUAUAUACUUCUCAAAACCCCCUUUCUCCUCCCCUGAGCUCUGGGGCCUCUUACCCCUUGGGAGCUUUAGUUGCAUUAGCUGUAAAAUGAGGGCUUGAAUUCUAGUGAACUCUCCCGUAGGGGAAAGGAGGAGGGAGGGUGGUCAGGGAAAUUCUGGCUGAGACUUGAGAUGAGGAGUAUUGCUCGGAGAGUCAUAGUCUGUCCAUCUUGGUGGAAACAUUGGCUGAUGCCACUUGUGCUUUAGGCUCUAUCUCUGGGCUCCCUUCUGGAAUGAAAUAAAACCAGUGGGGAGGGCCAGACUGAAAAAUUGUAUGUGUCUCCCUUGGCACAGACCUGUGUUAGACCUCACGAUCUUUGAGGACACUUCAUUCUAGGAUGCUGUGACUGGGAUCUCUGGUAAACUCAAAGGUGAAGCCAGUACCACAAAACUCAGCAGUAGCUUUUGCCUUGUAGUAUCUUUAAAAACAACAACAGCAGAAGACUUUCCAUAGUACUGAUGCACCGAAACAAGAGCUGGUAUGUAGUAAGUGUUGUAUAAAUGUUUAUAUAAAAAAAGACCUAAAUGACCUGAGUUUUUAACCCUGGAAUUGAGCACCUCAAGUCAGCCUGCUAGCAGCUUCUCGAUGGUGUGUGGCUUUUUGGUUACCCUUGGCAUGUGCUAUCAUUGUUGGGACCUGUGGAUUUUAUGGUAUAAUCUUGGAGCUUUGGAACUUUUAUGUCCUAUAAAUGUCUGUAAGACUCUUAUAAUCAAGUUGGCUUUGGGAUAAGGGAUAAAUUAUUACUUAUUGGUUUGUGUGUCCUCAGAGUGGCACUAUUUAUAAACGAAUAAGCGGAAACCUGCAAUUGGAGAAUUCCAACCAAGUUUCUUCCUACCUAAAAAGUAUAAAUGGCAUUGGUUAUCAUCCUAGAUGUUUUCUAGCAGUGUUGGGGAGGUGGACAAAUUGCUUAACGAGCCACAUGAGUAUAGGUGUAUUGGUUAAAAGACAGCAAAAGCAAGAGCUAGAGGGUGAGAGAGAGAGAGAGAGAAGGAGGAGGGAGGGAGUCUUUUUAAAGGAAGAAAACAAAACAAAACAUGUGAAUCCAUCUGAUCUCUGUCCAGUAACAAGAGCCCAACGCCUUAGUUAACAGUUUAGUGCCUUGCAUGUUUUGCCUUAAACCAGUUCAAAUGAUAGGUGCUAAAAAGUCUCCUUUGAUUAUAGCCUUGUGAAUAUUCUAAAUUUUAAAAAAACUUAUUUUUACCAUAAUUAAAAAAGAAAAAUUAUAUAUUCAUUCAUAGCAGAGAGAGGAAGAAACUCCUAAAUCUUUUUUUUUUUCUUUUUGCCAUUUCUUGGGCCGCUCCCGUGGCACAUGGAGGGAGGUUCCCAGGCUAGGGGUGGAGUUGGAGCUGUAGCCACCAGCCUAUGCCAGAGCCACAGCAACUCAGGAUCCGAGCCGCGUCUGCAACCUACAGCACAGCUAACGGCAAUGCCAGAUCCUUAACCCACUGAGCAAGGCCAGGGAUAGCACCUGCAACCUCAUUGUUCCUAGUUGGAUUCAUUAAUCACUGUGCCACAACGGGAACUCCAGAAACUCCUAAAUCUUAAAAGGCAAGGUGAUGGUUAGAAGAUGAGUAAGUUCAUUGUGAUUAUAGUCAACAGUGUUGUAUUAUAUCCUUCAAACUUGCUAAGAGACUAGAUCUUAAAUGUUCUCACCAUAAAAAAGAAUUGGUAAUUAUGUGACAGGAUGGAGGUGUCAGCUAGCACCAUGGUGGUUAUCAUAUUGCUAAAUAUAAAUGUAUUGAAUCUCCCCAGUUGUGCACCUUAAACUUAGACAAUGUUAUAUGUCAAUUACAUCUCAAG
rnacentral:lncRNA from 1 species